UACGUAGGGUGCAAGCGUUGUCCGGAUUUAUUGGGCGUAAAGAGCUCGUAGGCGGUCUGUCGCGUCGGAUGUGAAAACCCAGGGCUCAACCCUGGGCCUGCAUUCGAUACGGGCAGACUAGAGUACGGCAGGGGAGACUGGAACUCCUGGUGUAGCGGUGAAAUGCGCAGAUAUCAGGAGGAACACCGGUGGCGAAGGCGGGUCUCUGGGUAGUAACUGACGCUGAGGAACGAAAGCGUGGGUAGCGAACAGG
rnacentral:rRNA from 1 species